UGAAAUUACUACUACUUUUGGUCGAGAGGCGGA
rnacentral:sRNA from 1 species